CCUACGGGCGGCAGCAGUGAGGAAUAUUGGUCAAUGGGCGCGAGCCUGAACCAGCCAAGUAGCGUGAAGGACGACUGCCCUACGGGUUGUAAACUUCUUUUAUAAAGGAAUAAAGUGAGGCACGUGUGCCUUUUUGUAUGUACUUUAUGAAUAAGGAUCGGCUAACUCCGUGCCAGCAGCCGCGGUAAUACGGAGGAUCCGAGCGUUAUCCGGAUUUAUUGGGUUUAAAGGGAGCGUAGAUGGGUUGUUAAGUCAGUUGUGAAAGUUUCGGGCUAAACGAGAAAAUUGCAUUUAAUACGGGUGACAUAGAGAGUAGAUGAGGUAGGCGGAAUGGAGGGGGUAGCGGGGAAAUGUU
rnacentral:rRNA from 1 species